rnacentral:rRNA from 1 species
UACGUAGGGACCAAGCGUUGUUCGGAUUUACUGGGCGUAAAGGGCGCGUAGGCGGCAAUUCAAGUCAUCUGUGAAAUCUCCGGGCUUAACUCGGAACGGUCAGGUGAUACUGCUUUGCUAGAGUGCGGAAGGGGCAAUCGGAAUUCUUGGUGUAGCGGUGAAAUGCGUAGAUGUCAAGAGGAACACCUGAGGUGAAGACGGGUUGCUGGGCCGACACUGACGCUGACAGCGCGAAAGCCAGGGGAGCAAACGGG